UACGUAUGGUGCAAGCGUUAUCCGGAUUUACUGGGUGUAAAGGGAGCGCAGGCGGCACGGCAAGCCUGAUGUGAAAGCCCGCGGCCCAACCGCGGGACUGCAUUGGGAACUACCGGGCUGGAGUGCCGGAUAGGUAGGCGGAAUUCCUAGUGUAGCGGUGAAAUGCGUAGAUAUUAGGAGGAACACCAGUGGCGAAGGCGGCUUGCUGGACAGAGACUGACGUUGAGGCUCGAAAGCGUGGGGAGCAAACGGG
rnacentral:rRNA from 1 species